UUAGUGCACCAGUUAGUGCACCAGCGCACCAGUUAGCGCACCAGUUAGUGCACCAGUUAGUGCACCAGCGCACCAGUUAGCGCACCAGUUAGUGCACCAGUUAGCGCACCAGUUAGCGCACCAGUUAGUGCACCAGCACACCAGUUAGCGCACCAGUUAGUGCACCAGUUAGUGCACCAGCGCACCAGUUAGCGCACCAGUUAGUGCACCAGUUAGUGCACCAGCGCACCAGUUAGUGCACCAGUUAGUGCACCAGCGCACCAGUUAGCGGGCCAGGUUGACACCGGGUGGUGAGCGCACCAGUUAGCGCACCAGUUAGCGCAUCAAAUCAAGGGGCGUCCAGGCCUCCUGGUGACGAGGGCGGGGACGGAGACAUUCGGUGACCCCUUCCCUGACAGCGCACACCCCCCCUCUUCCCAGCACUCAGCCCCACGCCUUCACAUGGCCCCUGGUGUGGAUGGCUUGUGACGGGACAAAGCAGGAAGGAGGACGCGGAGUCCAGCCGACUGGGCCCUGGCGGUCCCUUCGUGCCCGGCGGCCACCUGCUGCAAACAGUGAGCGGGAGACUCCCAACAGCGGAGAAGUCUGGUGCUCGCGGUUGAACGUGGAUCCCCGCACUCCCUGUGGGUCCCCAGGCCCCGGCAGGCGAUGAGGCAGCAAGUGAAGGGGCCCCGCAAGCCGCUGCGCCUCCAAACAGCUCUGGAGACGUGUCCAGAGACUCAGGGGGGAUGAAAAUGCAAACAGCUUUAGCCAAGCUUGCACAGAUGCCUCGUCACUGCACGUUCCUAGAAAACGGAUGCCUCCGCUCAAACCUUAAGUUUCUAGAAGGAUUGAGGCUUCCUGAAGCCUGGGGGGGGGGUGGGGGGGGACUGCGGCCAAGGCGCCAGGACCUGGGACCCUCUGGAGGCAUGAGCAUGGGAGCUGGAAUCCAGCCAUUCCUGAGGCCCACUGGGUCCACCCUGCCUGUCUGGUUCCGAGAUCUGAGAAAUCCCGCUCUUGUGAUCCAGGGCAAGAGGAUAAGGUUUUUCUUUACUGGUAACCAAGUGGGUCCUCUUACAAGGGCUUGUGAAGACCUCCCGAAGAGAGUGGACAUGGGCUACCAAGUGGGUGACACCGCGGGCAACAGCCACGGGACGGGCAAUCGAUUGGGGUGGGGGUGGCCACCCAGCUCUUAA
rnacentral:lncRNA from 12 species